rnacentral:rRNA from 1 species
UACGAAGGGGGCUAGCGUUGCUCGGAAUCACUGGGGCGUAAAGGGUGCGUAGGCGGGUCUUUAAGUCAGGGGUGAAAUCCUGGAGCUCAACUCCAGAACUGCCUUUGAUACUGAAGAUCUUGAGUUCGGGAGAGGUGAGUGGAACUGCGAGUGUAGAGGCGAAAUUCGUAGAUAUUCGCAAGAACACCAGUGGCGAAGGCGGCUCACUGGCCCGGUACUGACGCUGAGGCACGAAAGCGUUGGGGAGCAAACAGG